CCUACGGGUGGCAGCAGUAGGGAAUCUUCCACAAUGGGCGAAAGCCUGAUGGAGCAACGCCGCGUGGGUGAAGAAGGUCUUCGGAUCGUAAAACCCUGUUGUUAGAGAAGAAAGUGCGUGAGAGUAACUGUUCACGUUUCGACGGUAUCUAACCAGAAAGCCACGGCUAACUACGUGCCAGCAGCCGAGGUAAUACGUAGGUGGCAAGCGUUAUCCGGAUUUAUUGGGCGUAAAGGGAACGCAGGCGGUCUUUUAAGUCUGAUGUGAAAGCCUUCGGCUUAACCGGAGUAGUGCAUUGGAAACUGGGAGACGUGAGUGCAGAAGAGGAGAGUGGAACUCGAUGUGUAGCGGUGAAAUGCGUAGAUAUAUGGAAGAACACCAGUGGCGAAGGCGGCUCUCUGGUCUGUAACUGACGCUGAGGUUCGAAAGCGUGGGUAGCAAACAGGAUUAGAUACCCCUGUAGUC
rnacentral:rRNA from 1 species